rnacentral:lncRNA from 1 species
GAAUACCGAAUCUAUGGGUAUUCAAUUGGUUGCCCAUGUUGGAUAACUUUAUUUGAUUAUUUGUUUAACCAAUUACCAUUAGAAGACAUGAUGAUAUUAUACAUGAUUUAUGAACAAGAUAAGAUUUGUCCAAUGGUCAAACCAUUUCUCAAGUUGGGGGAUAAAGUUAUAUCUUCCUACUUCCAUGUGCCGUUCGCCAAAUUUAGAAUACUAUCAAAA